GCCCGGAUGAUCUUCAGUGGUCUGGGGUGCAGGCUUCAAACCUGUAGGUGACUGACGUCACAGUGGUUCAAUUCCACCUUCCGGGCG
rnacentral:tRNA from 1 species